rnacentral:piRNA from 1 species
UUGGAUAUGGACCUUCUUCAAUUCCUGGCC